GACGAACGCUGGCGGCGUGCUUAACACAUGCAAGUCGAACGGAAAGGCCCUGCUUUUGUGGGGUGCUCGAGUGGCGAACGGGUGAGUAACACGUGAGUAACCUGCCCUUGACUUUGGGAUAACUUCAGGAAACUGGGGCUAAUACCGGAUAGGAGCUCCUGCUGCAUGGUGGGGGUUGGAAAGUUUCGGCGGUUGGGGAUGGACUCGCGGCUUAUCAGCUUGUUGGUGGGGUAGUGGCUUACCAAGGCUUUGACGGGUAGCCGGCCUGAGAGGGUGACCGGCCACAUUGGGACUGAGAUGCGGCCCAGACUCCUACGGGAGGCAGCAGUGGGGAAUAUUGCACAAUGGGCGGAAGCCUGAUGCAGCAACGCCGCGUGGGGGAUGACGGCCUUCGGGUUGUAAACCGCUGUCGCCUGUGACGAAGCGUGAGUGACGGUAAUGGGUAAAGAAGCACCGGCUAACUACGUG
rnacentral:rRNA from 1 species